UACAGAGACUGCAAGCGUUAUUCGGAUUCACUGGGCGUAAAGGGUGCGCAGGCGGCCAGGUGUGUUAGGCGUGAAAGCCCGGGGCUUAACCCCGGAAUUGCACCUAAAACUACUUGGCUAGAGCAUUGGAGAGGGUAGCGGAAUUCACGGUGUAGCAGUGAAAUGCGUAGAUAUCGUGAGGAACACCAGUGGCGAAGGCGACUACCUGGCCUGUUCUUGACGCUGAGGCGCGAAAGCGUGGGGAGCAAACAGG
rnacentral:rRNA from 1 species